rnacentral:rRNA from 1 species
CCGGCGAUUUCCGAAUGGGGAAACCCAGUGUGUUUCGACACACUAUCAUUAACUGAAUCCAUAGGUUAAUGAGGCGAACCGGGGGAACUGAAACAUCUAAGUACCCCGAGGAAAAGAAAUCAACCGAGAUUCCCCCAGUAGCGGCGAGCGAACGGGGAGGAGCCCAGAGCCUGAAUCAGUGUGUGUGUUAGUGGAAGCGUCUGGAAAGGCGCGCGAUACAGGGUGACAGCCCCGUACACAAAAAUGCACAUACUGUGAGCUCGAUGAGUAGGGCGGGACACGUGGUAUCCUGUCUGAAUAUGGGGGGACCAUCCUCCAAGGCUAAAUACUCCUGACUGACCGAUAGUGAACCAGUACCGUGAGGGAAAGGCGAAAAGAACCCCGGCGAGGGGAGUGAAAAAGAACCUGAAACCGUGUACGUACAAGCAGUGGGAGCCUCUUUUAUGGGGUGACUGCGUACCUUUUGUAUAAUGGGUCAGCGACUUAUAUUCUGUAGCAAGGUUAACCGAAUAGGGGAGCCGAAGGGAAACCGAGUCUUAACUGGGCGUUAAGUUGCAGGGUAUAGACCCGAAACCCGGUGAUCUAGCCAUGGGCAGGUUGAAGGUUGGGUAACACUAACUGGAGGACCGAACCGACUAAUGUUGAAAAAUUAGCGGAUGACUUGUGGCUGGGGGUGAAAGGCCAAUCAAACCGGGAGAUAGCUGGUUCUCCCCGAAAGCUAUUUAGGUAGCGCCUCGUGAAUUCAUCUCCGGGGGUAGAGCACUGUUUCGGCAAGGGGGUCAUCCCGACUUACCAACCCGAUGCAAACUGCGAAUACCGGAGAAUGUUAUCACGGGAGACACACGGCGGGUGCUAACGUCCGUCGUGAAGAGGGAAACAACCCAGACCGCCAGCUAAGGUCCCAAAGUCAUGGUUAAGUGGGAAACGAUGUGGGAAGGCCCAGACAGCCAGGAUGUUGGCUUAGAAGCAGCCAUCAUUUAAAGAAAGCGUAAUAGCUCACUGGUCGAGUCGGCCUGCGCGGAAGAUGUAACGGGGCUAAACCAUGCACCGAAGCUGCGGCAGCGACGCUUAUGCGUUGUUGGGUAGGGGAGCGUUCUGUAAGCCUGUGAAGGUGUACUGUGAGGUAUGCUGGAGGUAUCAGAAGUGCGAAUGCUGACAUAAGUAACGAUAAAGCGGGUGAAAAGCCCGCUCGCCGGAAGACCAAGGGUUCCUGUCCAACGUUAAUCGGGGCAGGGUGAGUCGACCCCUAAGGCGAGGCCGAAAGGCGUAGUCGAUGGGAAACAGGUUAAUAUUCCUGUACUUGGUGUUACUGCGAAGGGGGGACGGAGAAGGCUAUGUUGGCCGGGCGACGGUUGUCCCGGUUUAAGCGUGUAGGCUGGUUUUCCAGGCAAAUCCGGAAAAUCAAGGCUGAGGCGUGAUGACGAGGCACUACGGUGCUGAAGCAACAAAUGCCCUGCUUCCAGGAAAAGCCUCUAAGCAUCAGGUAACAUCAAAUCGUACCCCAAACCGACACAGGUGGUCAGGUAGAGAAUACCAAGGCGCUUGAGAGAACUCGGGUGAAGGAACUAGGCAAAAUGGUGCCGUAACUUCGGGAGAAGGCACGCUGAUAUGUAGGUGAAGCGACUUGCUCGUGGAGCUGAAAUCAGUCGAAGAUACCAGCUGGCUGCAACUGUUUAUUAAAAACACAGCACUGUGCAAACACGAAAGUGGACGUAUACGGUGUGACGCCUGCCCGGUGCCGGAAGGUUAAUUGAUGGGGUUAGCGGUAACGCGAAGCUCUUGAUCGAAGCCCCGGUAAACGGCGGCCGUAACUAUAACGGUCCUAAGGUAGCGAAAUUCCUUGUCGGGUAAGUUCCGACCUGCACGAAUGGCGUAAUGAUGGCCAGGCUGUCUCCACCCGAGACUCAGUGAAAUUGAACUCGCUGUGAAGAUGCAGUGUACCCGCGGCAAGACGGAAAGACCCCGUGAACCUUUACUAUAGCUUGACACUGAACAUUGAGCCUUGAUGUGUAGGAUAGGUGGGAGGCUUUGAAGUGUGGACGCCAGUCUGCAUGGAGCCGACCUUGAAAUACCACCCUUUAAUGUUUGAUGUUCUAACGUUGGCCCCUGAUCGGGGUUGCGGACAGUGUCUGGUGGGUAGUUUGACUGGGGCGGUCUCCUCCUAAAGAGUAACGGAGGAGCACGAAGGUUGGCUAAUCCUGGUCGGACAUCAGGAGGUUAGUGCAAUGGCAUAAGCCAGCUUGACUGCGAGCGUGACGGCGCGAGCAGGUGCGAAAGCAGGUCAUAGUGAUCCGGUGGUUCUGAAUGGAAGGGCCAUCGCUCAACGGAUAAAAGGUACUCCGGGGAUAACAGGCUGAUACCGCCCAAGAGUUCAUAUCGACGGCGGUGUUUGGCACCUCGAUGUCGGCUCAUCACAUCCUGGGGCUGAAGUAGGUCCCAAGGGUAUGGCUGUUCGCCAUUUAAAGUGGUACGCGAGCUGGGUUUAGAACGUCGUGAGACAGUUCGGUCCCUAUCUGCCGUGGGCGCUGGAGAACUGAGGGGGGCUGCUCCUAGUACGAGAGGACCGGAGUGGACGCAUCACUGGUGUUCGGGUUGUCAUGCCAAUGGCACUGCCCGGUAGCUAAAUGCGGAAGAGAUAAGUGCUGAAAGCAUCUAAGCACGAAACUUGCCCCGAGAUGAGUUCUCCCUGAGACUUUA